rnacentral:lncRNA from 1 species
AGCACAGAACCGGUGAUGCCGCGGUGUAGACACAGGGCCUGGACCUCCAGAACCAGCGAUGCCCCAGUGUAGACACAGGGCCUGGACCUCCAGAACCAGCGAUGUCGUGGGGUAGACACAGGUCCUGGACCUCCAGAACCGGCGAUAUCGUGGUGUAGGCACAGGGCCUGGACCUCCAUUGCUGGCAGGAAUGCAAAUGGCAUGGCCACUCUAAACACCAGCUUGACAGUUUCACCCAAAAGUAAACACCCGACUAAUGUACAACCCCACAAUGACACUCUUGGGGUGUUUAUUCCAAAGAAAUGAAGACGUAUCUUCAUGCCAAAAACUGUGCAGCUGCAUUUGUAACAGGCAGAACGUAGAGACAACCCGAGCGUCCUUCAGUGGACACACGAACGGCCGCACCGCGGAACGCUACUCAGCCAUGAAAACAAACAGACCAGCUGCACACAGCAACUUGGACCAUCUCCAGAGAAUUCUGCCGAGUGGGAAAAGCUGACCUCAAAAAGCCUGUACAUGCCAUGACGCUGUUUAUGGAACUGGCAUCAUCAAACCAGAGACCGAGAACAGGGAUCUGAAGGGAGCCGAGCUCCUUCUGCAGAAGGGCGCUGAGAAGGGAGCUGGAAGGAAAAGAAGGAAACAUUCCUUCCUCAACUGGAGGAAGACACGCGGCCACACACAGAACCAGCGGCCCCAGGACCGUCACCCUGCGUGCCCGGGCCUGUCCCUCCUGACCCCAGGAUUAUAGUGGCGAGGCAGGGUGUUAGCCAAGCGGAUUGAGCCAGGACACAACACCGCGGAGCCCUGCAGGCGAGUCCUCCGGAGGCUGAGAGCAAACGGCUGCACUAGGAACCCAGCAGUCAGACCGGCCCCCACCCUGGAGUGAACACAUCGCCACUGCCAGGCAUCGCAGGGAGGAUUACCCCAAUGGCACCUGGCUGGGCGACGAGAACAACCCCGAGAUGCGGGUGCACUGCGCCAUCAUCCCCUCCGACAUGCUGCACAUCAGCACCAACUGCCGCACGGCCGAGGAGAUGGUGCUCACGCUGCUGGACUACCUCUUCCACCGCGAGGUGCAGGCUGUGUCCAGCCUCUCGGGGCAGGGCAAGCACGGGAAGAAGCAGCUGGACCCGCUCACCAUCUAUGGCAUCCGGUAGCCGAUGAUGAGCACCCCACCUCCUGCCAGAGAGCUCCUGCAGCCACAGCUGCAGCCGCAGGCCCUGCACUACGCGCUGGCCAACGUGCAGCAGGUGCAGAUCCACCAGAUCGGAGAAGACGGACAGGUGCAAGUAGGACACCUCCACAUCGCCAAGGUGCCACAGGGGGAGCAAGUCCAGAUCACGCAGGACAGCGAGGGCAACCUCCAGAUCCAUCACGUGGGGCAGGAUGGUCAGCUGAGUGUCCCAGUCCCCAUGCACAUGCGGGCGUUGCGCUGCCAAGGGGUGGGGUUCUCAGGGGAGGGGGUGGGACGGUCAGGUGAGUGCCCUGGUCCCCAUGUACAUGUGGGCAUUGUGCUGCUGAGGGGUGGGGCUCUCAUGGGAAGGGGGCGGAUGGUCAGGUGAGUGCCACAGUCCCCCUCUCACAUAUAGGCCAUUGUGCUGCCAAGGAAUGGGGGCUCUCAUGGGAGGAAGCGAGGGUGCAAAGGCCUCUCAGUGUGAGCCCCAGAGCAGGACUGGCUUUCCUCACCAUGGCAAUGCACAGGCCUGGAAGGGGGAGGGCGGGGCUUGGGGGUUACAUUUGCUGCUCCGUAGGAUUUCAGCAGCUUUUGCAUUAUGGCGGAAACAUGCCCUCCCACCCCCACCACCCCACCCCCUUCAGAUGGUUAUUUUCUGCACACGCAUGUGUAUGUUGAUGGUGGUCAUAUUUGCACAGAUAACUCUGUUAGAAAAAGGUGGUUUCGCUCCUGUGUAUUGCCAUCAAACUCACAAACUUGCCUGCUUUCUAAUCCUUGACAAAAAGAGUGACCAUUGGUUGAACACCCCAGUACGAAUGGUCUUUACAAAAUGAUGUGCUCCGACGGUGCGGGUCCUGGGGAGGGUGUUGCUGUGCAGGACAGAGUCAACUCGCUGGUGGUUUUGAGGCUGUGUGUUCCUAGGUCCUGGUGAAGACCCUUUCUGUUCAGGAGAUGGCUGUCACCUCUGGAUCAUUGAAGAAUCUGGGUGAUCUUCCCAUUUCAUAAAACAGAAGCUGGGAAGUUGACAGUGAGAACCAUAAACAGAGCUCACUGUGUAGAAAGAUAAUACUAAUUUUUCAAAACCACAGCGCACUGUCCUAUGAGAAACCUGCAUGCGUUCCCUUUGUCAAGGCCAGGCCCUGCAGAUCUCUGACCCGACUGAGCCUGGGGCACCCCCAGAGUGAGGUGCUUUACACAGAGGGGGACAGAAGGGCAUGUGCUCCCGUGGGCUUUCUGUUGACCCCUCAGAGGCACCUUGGGAGAAGGGCUGCAGACCCUCCGAAACUGGUUUAUGUCAGAGUUUCUUAGUUGGAAAGUUUCAUCUUAAAGAUCAGCACGAGGUUUUCUCAGGUAGUCCUGCAGCAUCGCUCGUCUGUAAGUAUGAAAUUGCUGCUCUGGAAAAGAGCCAAAGGAAUGCGCAGCUUUUAAAUCCACAGUUGUGGCCUUGCGCUCACUCCACUGGGGUAAUGAGGCUGCGGUGGGCGCAGUGCAGGUCAGUUCUCUGCGCCUUUGUCCCCCGUGGUUCUCACGGUCACGGGGGCAGCAGAGGACAGGGCUCAUAGCUGGCGGUCCGUCUUAGUUUUCUGCAACAUAGUGGUUUAUGGUUCUGCUGGUAGUGGAACUGUAUCAUAGUUGAAACGCUGCUGGACGUUUAAUUCCUAGGAAAAGUAAGGCACGUCACCUUCGAUAUUCCCUUGUUCCUGUCUCUACCCCUGAACAAAAUCCACUUGGAAUUUUAAAGAUAGAACCAGGCUUUUACACUGUAUCACUGCAGUGCUUCUGUUUGUGAUUGUAGACAGAAUUCUCCCAACUCUACUGUGGGGACAGAGAUUCCAGCUUUUCUCAGCAGGCAUGGAGGCCCAUUGGCUCCAGCACAGAUCUGAGUUCAGGAAGGACUCAGGGCUGAUGUCGGAGGAGUUGCUGUCUGGAUUUCUCUGAACAAGAUUCCGUUCUGGUGUCUCUCGUUCCUCCGUCACUGCUGCCGCCCCACGUGCCUUUGCA